rnacentral:pre_miRNA from 1 species
UAUGCACUGGUGGGGUCCCUCAGCCUGGCCUGCACCCUCUUGCAAUCCGGGAUCCCUCGGGGGUGUGGGAGAGCUGGUUCGGCCCGAUCUUGCAGGCCAGGCUGAGGGACCCCACUGGUGCACG